UGGGGAAUAUUGCGCAAUGGGGGAAACCCUGACGCAGCGACGUCGUGUGAGGGAAGAAGGCCUUCGGGUCGUAAACCUCUGUCAGAAGGGAAGAACAUCCGGGAGUCGAACAGCCUCCCGGCCUGACGGUACCUUCAGAGGAAGCGCCGGCUAACUCCGUGCCAGCAGCCGCGGUAAUACGGAGGGCGCAAGCGUUAAUCGGAAUCACUGGGCGUAAAGCGUGCGUAGGCUGCUUGAUAAGUCAGACGUGAAAUCCCUCGGCUCAACCGGGGAACUGCGUUUGAUACUGUCGAGCUAGAGUCCUGGAGAGGGUGGCGGAAUUCCUGGUGUAGGAGUGAAAUCCGUAGAUAUCAGGAGGAACACCGGUGGCGAAGGCGGCCACCUGGACAGGUACUGACGCUGAGGUACGAAAGCGUGGGGAGCAAACAGG
rnacentral:rRNA from 2 species